AUUGAACGCUGGCGGCAGGCCUAACACAUGCAAGUCGAGCGAGCGGCGGACGGGUGAGUAAUGUAUGGGGAUAUGCCCGAUAGAGGGGGAGACCUACUGGAAACGGUAGAUAAUACCGCAUACUAUCGGAUGAACCCAUAUGGGAUUAGCUAGUAGGUGAGGUAAUGGCUCACCUAGGCGACGAUCCCUAGCUGGGCUGAGAGGAUGCGCAGCCACACGGGUGUUGGGACACGGCCCUGCCUCCUACGGUGGGCAGCAGGGGGGAUUAUUGCACAAUGGGCGCAAGCCUGAUGCAGCCAUGCCGCGUGUAUGAAGAAGGCCUUCGGGUUGUAAAGUACUUUCAGCGGGGAGGCGUGACCCGCAGAAGAAGCACCGGCUAACUCCGUGCCAGCAGCCGCGGUAAUAC
rnacentral:rRNA from 1 species